UGCAGAUGAUGUAAAGAAUAUUUGCUAUCUUAACAAUGAUGAAGACAACUAUAUUAUCACCAAGAUCGCUGAUGCA
rnacentral:snoRNA from 1 species